rnacentral:rRNA from 1 species
UACAGAGGUCUCAAGCGUUGUUCGGAUUCAUUGGGCGUAAAGGGUGCGUAGGUGGCGCGCUAAGUCAGGUGUGAAAUUUCGGAGCUUAACUCCGAAACUGCAUUUGAUACUGGCGUGCUUGAGGACUGGAGAGGAGACUGGAAUUCACGGUGUAGCAGUGAAAUGCGUAGAUAUCAGGAGGAACACCGAUGGCGAAGGCAGGUCUCUGGGCUGACACUGACGCUCAUGCACGAAAGCGUGGGGAGCAAACAGG